AUUGAACGCUGGCGGCACGCCUUACACAUGCAAGUCGAACGGUAACAGGUCUUCGGAUGCUGACGAGUGGCGAACGGGUGAGUAAUGUAUCGGAACGUGCCCAGUUGUGGGGGAUAACUACUCGAAAGAGUGGCUAAUACCGCAUACGACCUGAGGGUGAAAGCGGGGGAUCGCAAGACCUCGCGCAAUUGGAGCGGCCGAUAUCAGAUUAGGUAGUUGGUGGGGUAAAGGCUCACCAAGCCAACGAUCUGUAGCUGGUCUGAGAGGACGACCAGCCACACUGGGACUGAGACACGGCCCAGACUCCUACGGGAGGCAGCAGUGGGGAAUUUUGGACAAUGGACGCAAGUCUGAUCCAGCCAUGCCGCGUGCGGGAAGAAGGCCUUCGGGUUGUAAACCGCUUUUGUCAGGGAAGAAACGAGUGUCUCUAAUACAGAUGCUUAAUGACGGUACCUGAAGAAUAAGCACCGGCUAACUACGUGCCAGCCGCCGCCGUAAAAC
rnacentral:rRNA from 1 species